GACGAACGCUGGCGGCGUGCCUAAUACAUGCAAGUAGAACGCUGAAGAGAUGAGCUUGCUCUUCUUGGAUGAGUUGCGCACGGGUGAGUAACGCGUAUGUAACCUGCCUUGUAGCGGGGUAUAACUAUUGGAAACGAUAGCUAAUACCGCAUAACAAUGUAUGACACAUUUCAUUUAUUUGAAAUUGGCAAUUGCUCCACUACAAGAUGGACCUGCGUUGUAUUAGCUAGUAGGUGAGGUAAUGGCUCACCUAGGCGUGGAUACAUAGCCGACCUGAGAGGGUGAUCGGCCACACUGGGACUGAGACACGGCCCAGACUCCUACGGGAGGCAGCAGUAGGGAAUCUGCGGCAAUGGGGGGAAAACUGACCGAGCAACGCCGCGUGAGUGAAGAAGGUUGUCGGAUCGUAAAGCUCUGUUGUAAGUCAAGAACGGGUGUGAGAGUGGAAAGUUCACAGUGUGACGGUAGCUUACCAGAAAGGGACGGCUAACUACGUG
rnacentral:rRNA from 1 species